rnacentral:rRNA from 1 species
UACGAAGGGUGCAAGCGUUACUCGGAAUUACUGGGCGUAAAGCGUGCGUAGGUGGUUUGUUAAGUCUGAUGUGAAAGCCCUGGGCUCAACCUGGGAAUUGCAUUGGAUACUGGCAGGCUAGAGUGCGGUAGAGGAUGGCGGAAUUCCCGGUGUAGCAGUGAAAUGCGUAGAGAUCGGGAGGAACAUCUGUGGCGAAGGCGGCCAUCUGGACCAGCACUGACGCUGAGGCGCGAAAGCCAGGGGAGCAAACGGG